GAUUGGUCAUGGAUGUUACCAGAAUGAGUGGUGGAGCUUGUGAGUAAACCUUACUGCAUAAACAUUAACUGGAAUUCUUUCUUUGAAUAUUCAUACCAAAGAGUUGUUCUGCACAGAAAUGAAACUCAUAACAAAGUGGAUAUUGGGUCUCCUUCAGCAUGAAGUAGCCUGAAAUGUUAAUUAGAAAUAUCAAUGAAGCGUGUUUCUUGGCAUUAAAACCGUUACAAGUAUUAGAGGCAUGUACGGUUUUUGGAGUCUUGAAUGAAAUGAGGGAUCAUAUUGAAUUGAUCAAAAUCAUAUUAAAUUGAAAUUAUUUUAUUAUUUUUAUUUAAUUUUGAUUAUCAGUUAGCAAUUAUUGUUAUGCUCUUAAAUAGAUAGAAGGAAAAGAGAGUAAUAAAAUAAAUAAGAUAGCAAAAUCAUAACCAUUCACUAUAUUUCUAUAACUUUUUUCACUUCAUCUCUGUAUAUUCAUAUCACUUCCAUGUUUAUAAUAAUUUCCACUCCCUUUCCAUGAUCUUAUAUUAUGCAUACAUCCAUUGUACACAUCUCAAGAUGUAUCCCAUUAUCUAAUCUUCUUAAUUCAUGUGCUUAACCUAGUUACAUGAAUUUAGUUUACACAAAAUCUAUAGUUAAAGGGGGACCCUUUGUUACAAGCAGAUAUUAUUGUAGAGCAUAGCGCAUUUGAGAAUUGGGAGCAAUAAUAUAAUAUGCCAAAUUAGCCCUCAAUCACGCUAAAAUAAUGUCAUCCGAUUGUCAGAAAUAACUGGCCUAAAACUAAAAACAGUGGAAUAUAAAAUUUAGUAUAUUUGAGAAAAUUGUUAUAAUUUUAUUGAAGGAUAUAUGCUUUCAUUUUUUUGUGAGCGUGCAAUUGAGCACAUGGUUCAGAUUGUGUAGUCAUCAUGAGCAGCAUUUUCUUUUAAUUAAUUUUUCAUGUCCAACUUUCAUCUUUCAAUGAGACCCAACACCAUCAUUCCUCAUCAUUAUACAAAAGUUUAUGACAACCAAUUCUCCAUAUGCGCAUUUUUUUUUUAUAUAAAAAGCUUC
rnacentral:misc_RNA from 1 species